rnacentral:rRNA from 1 species
UUAAGUGACUAAGCGUACAAGGUGGAUGCCUUGGCAAUCAGAGGCGAGGAAGGACGUGCUAAUCUGCGAAAAGCUUGGAUGAGUCGAUAAGAGGCGUUUAAUCCAAGAUGUCCGAAUGGGGAAACCCAGUAGAUGAAGAAUCUACUAUCACUUACUGAAUCCAUAGGUAAGUGAGGCAAACCGGGAGAACUGAAACAUCUAAGUACCCCGAGGAAAAGAAAUCAACCGAGAUUUCGUUAGUAGCGGCGAGCGAACGCGAAGGAGCCUGUUAGUGAUAAUGACAGAGACAGAGGAACAAGCUGGGAAGCUUGGCGAUACAGGGUGAUAGCCCCGUACUCGAAGUCCAGGUCAUGGUACUAAGCUAACGACAAGUAGGGCGGGACACGUGAUAUCCUGUUUGAAGAUGGGGGGACCAUCCUCCAAGGCUAAAUACUCCUGAUUGACCGAUAGUGAACCAGUACUGUGAAGGAAAGGCGAAAAGAACCCCGGUGAGGGGAGUGAAAUAGAACCUGAAACCUUGUACGUACAAGCAGUGGGAGCCCUUUAAGGGUGACUGCGUACCUUUUGUAUAAUGGGUCAGCGACUUAUAUUUUGUAGCGAGGUUAACCGAAUAGGGGAGCCGAAGGGAAACCGAGUCUUAACUGGGCGUCUAGUUGCAAGGUAUAGACCCGAAACCCGGUGAUCUAGCCAUGGGCAGGUUGAAGGUUGGGUAACACUAACUGGAGGACCGAACCGACUAAUGUUGAAAAAUUAGCGGAUGACUUGUGGCUGGGGGUGAAAGGCCAAUCAAACCGGGAGAUAGCUGGUUCUCCCCGAAAUCUAUUUAGGUAGAGCCUUGAGCGGACACCUUCGGGGGUAGAGCACUGUUUCGGCUAGGGGUCCAUCCCGGAUUACCAACCCGAUGCAAACUACGAAUACCGAAGAGUGAUACUCAGGAGACACACGGCGGGUGCUAACGUCCGUCGUGGAGAGGGAAACAACCCAGACCGCCAGCUAAGGUCCCAAAGUCUAUAUUAAGUGGGAAACGAAGUGGGAAGGCUUAGACAGCUAGGAUGUUGGCUUAGAAGCAGCCAUCAUUUAAAGAAAGCGUAAUAGCUCACUAGUCGAGUCGGCCUGCGCGGAAGAUGUAACGGGGCUCAAAUAUAGCACCGAAGCUGCGGCAUCAGACGAAAGUCUGUUGGGUAGGGGAGCGUUCUGUAAGCGGAUGAAGGUAGCUCGAGAGGGCUGCUGGACGUAUCAGAAGUGCGAAUGCUGACAUAAGUAACGAUAAAACGGGUGAAAAACCCGUUCGCCGGAAGACCAAGGGUUCCUGUCCAACGUUAAUCGGGGCAGGGUGAGUCGGCCCCUAAGGCGAGGCUGAAAAGCGUAGUCGAUGGGAAACGGGUUAAUAUUCCCGUACUUGGAUAAACUGCGAUGUGGGGACGGAGCAGGUUAGGUUAUCGCACUGUUGGAUAUGUGCGUUUAAGUUGGUAGGUGUGAAGUUUAGGCAAAUCCGGACUUCUAUAACACCGAGAGAUGAUGACGAGGCUCUACGGAGCUGAAGUAACCGAUACCACACUUCCAGGAAAAGCCACUAAGCUUCAGGUUUAUCUAAACCGUACUGAAAACCGACACAGGUGGUCAGGUAGAGAAUACUCAGGCGCUUGAGAGAACUCGGGUGAAGGAACUAGGCAAAAUAGCACCGUAACUUCGGGAGAAGGUGCGCCGGCGUAGAUUGUAGUCCCUCGCGGGCGAAGGUUGAACCGGUCGAAGAUACCAGCUGGCUGCAACUGUUUAUUAAAAACACAGCACUCUGCAAACACGAAAGUGGACGUAUAGGGUGUGAUGCCUGCCCGGUGCUGGAAGGUUAAUUGAUGGUGUAAUCGAAAGAGAAGCUCCUGAUCGAAGCCCCAGUAAACGGCGGCCGUAACUAUAACGGUCCUAAGGUAGCGAAAUUCCUUGUCGGGU